rnacentral:rRNA from 1 species
CCUACGGGAGGCAGCAGUGGGGAAUUUUCCGCAAUGGGCGAAAGCCUGACGGAGCAAUACCGCGUGAGGGAAGACUGCCUAUGGGUUGUAAACCUCUUUUCUCAGGGAGGAAAUCAAUGACGUCACCUGAGGAAUAAGCAUCGGCUAACUCCGUGCCAGCAGCCGCGGUAAU